UAAUUCACACGCUACCAACGGAAGAAUAAGAACUUACUGCAUACUCCGCCGGCGGGGUACGCCGCCGGAACUGUCCGAUCAAAGCCCUAAGUCAAUCUCUCGCACAAUAUUAGAAGAAAGGGUUCAAGAUGCCAACACUCACUUCAAUUCUUGAAAAUUAAAGAAGGAGAACGUUUGUCAAUUUUUAUUAGUAACUGUUUUAUAUUGUGCAAUUCAAGGACAAAGAUCAUGUUAUUGACCGCAAGAACUUGUGAGAUUUUGGAGAAAGUUCAAUUUCAUGAUUUCGAGGUUUUCAUCCGUCGAUGUUCAAUAAAGCAUGUUAUCUCCUGAGUUAAACAACUGUUGCUAGGCACUGCACUUCAGUACUUGUUUUCUCUUGAGCUGAAUAAUCGGGACUUGGCACAGAACAUCAGCCAUGGAGGAUUUCAAAGCUGUUGAGCUGUUUGUGUUUUGGCUUCGCAAAAUUUGGAGGGUUUCAUCUGUUGAUGUUCAAUCAAACAUGUUAUCUCUCGAGCUAAACAACUGUUGCUUGGCAUGGCACUUCAGUGAGGAGGACCUACUUUGAACACGUGCAUAUCCUUCUCCAUUGCGAGUAUUUUCCAGUGGGUUUGGGAUUCCUCUGAGUUCCCUUAAUCAAAUUGAAUGCAGGCGAUGGUUCAUUCAAGCUCUAAGGUUACCUGAUGUUUAUACAGUGAAGGUCCUUCAAUUUUUUGUAUAUCAAUUCAAGAUUUGUUUCCAAAGGACCAAUACAUAAAUUACUCAAUAACAUAACGACGAGUUUUGACAGUGCUUCUGAAAAGCAUGGGGAGUCAAAAGGAGUACACACGACGGAGAGUCAAAAGAAGUUUUCGUGUAUUUUAUGCGUUAAACUAACUGAUGAGGAUCUGGUAGAAUUUAUUUGACAGCUUGCUGAGACAGCUGGAUCAUCAACUGUACCCUAUCAGUGAAUCAGGUCCUGAAUGGCUUGCAGGAGUGAAAGGAAAAUUGCAUUGUAGGAAAUAUCUGAGUUGGAACUCCAUUUAAUGGUAUGUUUAAGAGAAAAUUGCAAUUAUUAAUGAUAUCUUUUCAUUUGUUAGAAGCUCAUGGCUGACCGACUACUAUCCCUCUUGUCAACAUGAGAAAAUUUCAAAGUUAGGUUCGUGGAGUAGGAGUUCCUCUGAGGAUACUUCCUGUCUGGUUUACUUCGAAAGCUGUAUUUUGAUUUGAUUGAUCAAUCAUUUGGUUUGGUUAUAUAUCUUGAAGUCCAAAUAGGUUCUUGUAUUCUCCGAAAGAGUCUCCGCUAAGAAUUUCCCUUGCGCAUCCCUGUUGCUCCUUCAAUAUUUUUGAUACUGAAAGUGGUCCGUCUUUGAUUCACCAGCUAACUUGAGGACAAUUCAGGUCUGGUUUCUUCCAUUUUGUUCAUUUUCUUAUGGUGAGGAUGACCUGAUUUGCACACGUGCUUCUUCUUCUCAUUGCCGCUGUUGUCCAGUGGGGAUUUCUCCAAGUUCCCUUAACAAAUUGAAUGCAAGCAUAGGGGCAUUCAAGCUUUCAGGAUACAUCUCAGGUCCUGAUGUUUACACAGUGGAAGUAUACAUGCAUGGAUAAAGAGCUGUUAUAAGUUAUCUUUUCUACACUUUGUUUCUUUAACAACCACUGUAGGUCAUUCAGUAUUUCUGUAUCCACUUAUUUCAGUAUAUUGUCCUGACAAAGAAAAACGGAAAACUAAUCUUUGGUUAACAUUUACUAAAUUAUAUGCUUGUUUUUUGACGGUGUUUUUGUUUUCCUUGAACUUCGUUAUGCAGGUAUCAAUUCAAGAUUUGUUACCAAAAAGGACCAGUACAAGAAUCACUUAAUAACAUAGCUAUGAGUUUGGAAAGUGCUUCUGACAUUGAGCAGCGAAGUAGAUAUAUUAACUGUUUUUGUUGAAUCUAAACUACCCAAGAUAAAUUUUUUUUGAUCCGACUUUGGAGCCUUCAAAGAUGUCCGUGGAACCUAGCGACAUCAAACUAUUGCCUUUCAGAUGAUAUGCAUGCUUUCCCUGCAAGCUUUGGCCUUAAAGGAGAGGCUCUGGGCUCCACUUCUGACAUUUCUUUGUUGGAAAUUGUUACUAAAAGUCACGGGAGGCCAGAUGGAUAUCGUAAUUUUUUGAAGGGCAGAUUUUGUAGACAAGAUGUUGGUGCAACAGGGAAUUAAUGUAUAAGCCUAUCUCACACAGGAGUUGAUUUUUGUUUGCUAGUAAGGAAAUUUGUUGAGAUUUUUCUCUUUGCGGUUGUUGUUCAUGAUGUAGUUUUACAACCAACUAGUUCGAAGGAACCAAAUGCAGUACUUCUAGUAUGCUCACAAUUCAAACAAAUAAAAAUAUUGAUUUACUUACUUUACUUCUAAAGCUAUAUUGAUCUUUUAGUUUUCAUAUAUAAUCUUGAAGCCCAAAGAAGGUCUUGCUUUCUCUAAAAGUGUCUCUGCUAAGAAUCUCCCUUGUGCAUUCCAGUAUCUCCUUUAAAAUUGUUGAUAUUGAAAGGUGUGUUUGUUGUACCACUAACUUUAGGUUUUUACCUAUCUGGUUUCUUACAUUUUGUUGUUCAUUUGCAUGUCAUGAGGAUGACCUGCUUUGCACACAUGCUUCUCCUUCCCCAUUGCCGCUAUUGUCUAGUGGGUUUGGGUUUCAUCUUAGUUCCCUUAAUAAAUUGAAUGCAAGCGAUGGUUUAUUCUAGCUCUCUGGAUACAUCUCAGCUCAUGAUGUUUACACAAUGUAGGUAUAACGGCCCAAAUUGAUGGAUAAAAGAUGUGGAAAAAGAGGUUCAGGCUUAGAGUUGCAAAGCUUCACUUUCUUCCCUGCAGCCAAAGAAACUUACUGGAGAGUGCAUUCAGUAGAGAGAUUCAAUCUUCACAGAAUAUUCUGUGCAGAAGUGCUUCUGAAAAGCAUGAUCCGGAGUCCAGAUUCCUCUGUCAGAGCAAAAGUUCAAGUCGAUCAAUUGGCUCUCCUGCUCAUUGCACAGCUGGCGUGAACUGGAAAUCCAAAAGCUCUGCGCAACCCCUUUCAUCUAAUAUUUUACCUAGAGAGGAUGAUUUCCUGGAUAACAAAUUCAGUGCUUCAGUUAGAUCCAACUAUAAAUCUGACUGUGAGGCAGGUUCAGGAUGGGAGGAUAUGAUUUUCAAACAAUUGUAGCUGGCAGUUCUAGAGAGGAUGCUUAUUUAGGGUAUCACUUGAACUUGAUGACAGUUCAAAUGUGAUGCAUGAGAGAAGGAAAACAUUUAUUUGGAGCUGUUCUUAAUUUGCACAGAAGCCUGAAACGUGAUGGAUCAUCUCUUGAUUGUGAUGAAGAUCUUAAGUUCGAUAAAAGUAACUAAAGGAAUAAUCAAAAUCACCCUGAAGAUGAUUAUAGUGUUGAAUUUGAAGUUGCUGAUGAUGUAAACCUUGUCUUAAAUCUAAUGUCUCCUAGAGUCGAGGAAAUAUAUUUUGAGAAAUUUCUCCUGGUUAGAAACUCAGAGCAAGGCAUUGCAGAGGCUAAAAUUUGCCUGGAGAUUCAGAAAAACUUUAUUAACCAAGAACAUUCUGGAUAAAGAUGAUCAUCUUGUGAAUUUCAUUAGACAGAACAAAAAUUAUGGUUCUGGCCUGCUAUCUUUUAGUCCAGAACUGUCUCCUCUGCCACCAGAUCCUUUGCUCGUGACCAGGUUUCAACAUUCAUUGUCAAGCUUCAAUAUCAUUUACCAGUGAAGAAUGAAGAUGACCUGCUUUGCAUACAUGCUUCUCCUUCUCCUUUGCUGCUAUUGUCCAGUGGGUCGGGGAGUCAUCUGAGUUCCGUUAACAAUUUGAAUGCAAGUGAUGGUAUUUUCGACUCUCAAGAAACAUCUCACGUCCUGAUGUAAGAUAUACAGGCUAAAAUUGAUGGAUAUAAGAUGUGAUAAGUAAUCUUCUUUACUACACUUUGAUUCUCUAACAACCACUGUCUUAGCAGGUCAGUAUAUUUUUCUCAACAAAGAAAACAGAAAACUAAUCUUUGAUUAGCAUUUAUUAUAUCGGAUGCUUGUUUUAAUUCAAGAUAUAUUUCCUUGGUAAUGAAUUUUUUUCUGAAUCUCCUGACAAAUGUUGACCUCUUUAAUGCCUUGCUUUGAAAUUUGCAUAUAUUUCCUUGCCUCUAGGAGACAUUUGAUUUAAGACCUGGCUAACAUCAUCAGCUACUUCAAAUUUAACACUAUAUUCAUCUUCAAGGCGAUUUUGUUGAUUUCUUAGUUACUUUUGUAAUAUCUUCAUCACUAUCAAAAGAUAAUUUGUCAUGAGGAUUAGUAGGUUUUGUCUUCCAGUGGAAGUUCAAUAAAACUUGUUUUUACUUGAGCUGAUUAAAGUGAUGCAUGCAGCCACGACGGAUUUCAAUGCUAUUGAGCUAAUUGUGUUUUGGCUUCGCAAAGCUCAGUUUUGUUUUCUCACCAAGCCACCCUUUUGGUGAAACUACACAUGACCUUCCACUUUCGUAUUUUUAUUACUCUCUCCGGUGUAACUCAAAAUUGCAAUUAAACCUGUUCUCUCUUGAGCUGAAAGGCGUGGCAUGACAUCUCAAAUGAGUUUGUGACAUUUUGGAGAAAGUUUCAUUUCAUGGUGUUUCUUCACUAUCUCAUAAGAUAAUUGAUGCUUGCAGCCAUGAAAAAUUCCUAAGCUUUUUUGAGCUGAUUCAUGUUUUGACUAAGCAAUGCAUUCCCCCUCUCUCAGAACCACCCUUUUUGCAAAGCUCAGUUUUGUUUUGACUGAACUUUUCUUAUUCUUAUUACUCACUCUGCUCCGUUUUAAUACACAAUGAAGAUUUGGAGGUUUUCAUCCGUCGAUGUUCAAUAAAACAUAUGAUCUCUCGAGCUAUAAGCAACUGUUGCUAGGUAUGGUACUUCAGUUUUAGACAAAAUGGCAAUCAAACAAGUCCUCUCUUGAGCUGAGAAACUGUUACUUGGCAUGGCACAUCAGGUGGGGGUCUGUGAGAUUUUGUGGGGAAGUGCUUCUGAAAGCAUGAUCCCUGAGUCCAGAUUCCUCAGUCAGAUAGAAAGUUCAAGUCGGCCAAUUGAUAAAUCUCUUGCUCAUUGCACAGUUGAUGUUAGCUGGAAAUCCAGAAGCUCUGCGCAACCCCUUUCAUCUAAUGUUUUACGUACAGAGGAUGAUUCGUGGAUAACAAAUUCAGCUUCAGCUAUAAAUGAUAAAUCAGACUGCCUGUUAGGUUGAAGGAUGAGUCUGCAGCAAUUGUAGCGGGCAGAACAACAGAGGAUGCCUCCUCUACGGAAUCUCUUGAACUUGAUGACAGUUCAAGUGUGACGAAUGAGAGAAGGAAACCAUUUAUGCAGAGCUGUUCUUUGCACAGAAGUCUGGUACAUGAUGGAUAAUCUUUUGAUUUGCUUAGAGUUGGACUGUUCGCCUAAUCUGAAAAGGUGAUUGGUUUACAUUACUUUUCUAUUUUGUAAAUGUAAUAGGAAGUUCCUAUAAUCGUUCAGACCAAAAAGGAUAACUUAACAAAAAUGUAUGUAUUAGAUAAAAACGGACGAACAAGGUGAUUUUUGAUGAUGUCGAAAGUUGAUAUAUGUAUCUGUGGUUUUAACUCUUUUGGAA